UGCCUUGCUGUAGGGAAUGGAAAAUGACCCAACCGCUCUGGAAAACAGCUUGGCAGCUUCUUAAAAAACUAACCACGGCCUGGCCCCCUCUGGGAUGACAGAUGUUUCUUCAGUUUCUUAUGGGCCACACCAAAGACUGAAGUGACAAUGCGCCAAGACAGAAGAAAACCCGCAGUUUUGUGUUGGUCUGCUUUGAACAUCCAGAACCCCAACCUUACGUCAUAGCUCUGCUACACGGAAUUCGUUUACACGGGUGAUCAGUUAAUGUACAGUCCCUGUUUGGGAGCUCCAGCGCUUCUAAAUCAACCAUAGUCUUGAAAGCUGUGUGAAGACAAAUUCCCUAACUACAGGAAUGAAGAAGUUGUCAGCAGGUCUUACUGUUCCAGGCAGUUCUUUUCCAAUUAAUAAUAAUGCUGCUUUACCUCAA